GAUGAACGCUGGCGGCGUGCCUAAUACAUGCAAGUCGAGCGAACAGACCAGGAGCUUGCUCCUCCGACGUUAUCGGCGGACGGGAGCGUAACACGUGGAUAACCUACCUAUAAGACUGGGAUAACUUCGGGAAACCGGAGCUAAUACCGGAUAAUAUAUUGAACCUCAUGGGUCAAUAGUGAAAGACGGUUUUGCUUUCACUAAUAGAUGGCUCCGCGCCGCAUUCGCUAGUUGGUAAGGUAACUGCUUAGCAAGGCAACGAUGCGUAGCCGACCUGAGAGCGUGAUCGGCCACCCUGGCACUGAGACACGGUCCAGACUCCUACAGGAGGCCGCAGUAGGGAAUCUUCCGCAAUGGGCGAAAGCCUGACGGAGCAACGCCGCGGGAGUGAUGAAGGUCUUCGGCUCGGAAAACUCUGUUAUUAGGGAAGAACAAAUGUGUAAGUAACUAUGCACGUCUUGACGGUACCUAAUCAGAAAGCCACGGCUAACUACGUG
rnacentral:rRNA from 1 species